UACAGAGGGUGCAAGCGUUGUUCGGAAUUAUUGGGCGUAAAGGGCGCGUAGGCGGCUCGGCACGUCCGUUGUGAAAUCGCCCGGCUCAACUGGGCGGGGUCGGCGGAUACGGCCGAGCUGGAGCAAGCUAGGGGGUAAUGGAAUUCCCGGUGUAGUGGUGGAAUGCGUAGAUAUCGGGAGGAACACCAGUGGCGAAGGCGGUUACCUGGAGCUUUGCUGACGCUGAUGCGCGAAAGCGUGGGGAGCGAACAGG
rnacentral:rRNA from 1 species